AGAGUUGAUCCUGGCUCAGAACGAACGCUGGCGGCGCGUUUAAGCAUGCAAGUCGAGCGGCAAGGGCCUUCGGGCCCCUAGAGCGGCGGACGGGUGAGUAACACGUGGACAAUCUGCCCCCCGGCCCGGGAUAGCCCAGGGAAACCUGGAUUAAUACCGGAUGAGACGGGACCCGCGAUGGCGGGAUCCGGGAAAGGCGCUGCGGCGCCGCCGGGGGAUGAGUCUGCGUCCCAUUAGCUAGACGGCGGGGUAACGGCCCACCGUGGCGACGAUGGGUAGCCGGCCUGAGAGGGUGGACGGCCACAUUGGAACUGAGACACGGUCCAGACUCCUACGGGAGGCAGCAGCUAAGAAUCUUCCGCAAUGGGCGAAAGCCUGACGGAAGCGACGCCGCGUGAACGAAGAAGGCCGUGAGGUUGUAAAGUUCUUUUCGGGAGGGGGAACAACCGUGGCAGGGAAUGGCCGCGGGAUGACGUGAAUCCCGGAAUAAGCCCCGGCUAACUACGUGCCAGCCGCCGC
rnacentral:rRNA from 1 species